ACAAGCGGUGGAGCAUGUGGUUUAAUUCGAUGCAACGCGAAGAACCUUACCUGGCUUGACAUCCCUGGAAUCCCCUGGAAACAGGGGAGUGCCCUUCGGGGAGCCAGGAGACAGGUGCUGCAUUGGCUGUCGUCAGCUCGUGUCGUGAGAUGUUGGGUUAAGUCCCGCAACGAGCGCAACCCUUGUCUUUAAUUGCCAUCAUUCAGUUGGGCACUUUAAAGAGACUGCCGGUGUUAAACCGGAGGAAGGUGGGGAUGACGUCAAGUCCUCAUGGCCUUUAUGCCCAGGGCUACACACGUGCUACAAUGGGUGGUACAAAGAGCAGCUAACUCGCGAGAGUAUGCAAAUCUCAAAAAGCCAUCCUCAGUUCGGAUUGGAGUCUGCAACUCGACUCCAUGAAGUUGGAAUCGCUAGUAAUCGCGGAUCAGCAUGCCGCGGUGAAUACCGUUCCCGGGUCUU
rnacentral:rRNA from 1 species